AUUGAACGCUGGCGGCAUGCUUUACACAUGCAAGUCGAACGGUAACAGGCCGCAAGGUGCUGACGAGUGGCGAACGGGUGAGUAAUGCAUCGGAACGUGCCCAGUCGUGGGGGAUAACUACUCGAAAGAGUAGCUAAUACCGCAUACGAUCUAUGGAUGAAAGCGGGGGACCGUAAGGCCUCGCGCGAUUGGAGCGGCCGAUGUCAGAUUAGGUAGUUGGUGGGGUAAAGGCUCACCAAGCCAACGAUCUGUAGCUGGUCUGAGAGGACGACCAGCCACACUGGGACUGAGACACGGCCCAGACUCCUACGGGAGGCAGCAGUGGGGAAUUUUGGACAAUGGGCGCAAGCCUGAUCCAGCAAUGCCGCGUGCAGGAAGAAGGCCUUCGGGUUGUAAACUGCUUUUGUACGGAACGAAACGGCUCUGGUUAAUACCCGGGGCUAAUGACGGUACCGUAAGAAUAAGCACCGGCUAACUACG
rnacentral:rRNA from 1 species